rnacentral:tRNA from 1 species
GCGGGCGUAGCUCAGCGGUUAGAGCGUCAGGCUGUGGCCCUGAAGGUCGCGGGUUCGAGUCCCGCCGCUCGCCCCA